UACGUAGGGGGCAAGCGUUGUCCGGAUUUAUUGGGCGUAAAGAGCGUGUAGGCGGCCAGGUAGGUCUGCUGUGAAAACUCGAGGCUUAACCUCGAGAUGUCGGCGGAAACCAUCUGGCUAGAGUCCGGAAGAGGAGAGUGGAAUUCCUGGUGUAGCGGUGAAAUGCGCAGAUAUCAGGAAGAACACCCGUGGCUAAGGCGGCUCUCUAGUACGGUACUGACGCUGAGACGCGAAAGCGUGGGGAGCGAACAGG
rnacentral:rRNA from 1 species